CUCGGGUCGUGCUAAUAGAAUAUUAGAAGAAAACACAAGGUUUAGCUCUACCAGCCGCUUCCUAUUUGCAAUCAGAGACGACGAUCGACGAAGACGCAACAAAUUAACGGAUCAGUCAUUUGGUGAAAUCUUCAAUUGAGAAAACAAUGCCUCCAAGAAGGAACAACGCUGCAAGAGUCAACGUCAACAGGGAUGAUCAAAUGAUUGAAGCAAUGAAUAACAUGGUUGCUUUUGAUGCUGCACAAACAGCUGCAAAGACUCUACGGGGUCUAGAGAAGAGGGAAAGGGAGAUUUGUGCUGCUGAGUCAAGAGGAUUGGAAGAUUUUCUUCAUCACAAUCCUCCAAAAUUCAGGGGUGAUGAGAGUCCACAAAAAUCCGACCAUUGGAUUUAGGAAGUGGAAAAGGUCUUCAAAAUGAUUAAUUAUCACGCAGAGGUGAAGGUCAAUUAUGCUACGUAUCUGCUAUUAGGGGUAGGGGUGGGAAUAGGUCAGGCCAGACCAGGCUUUGAAAGGCUUGAG